GGUGCCUGCGGAAGGAUCAUUA
rnacentral:rRNA from 1 species